rnacentral:tRNA from 2 species
UGAUGCGUAGCUCAGUGGUUAGAGCGGCGUUCUUACAAGACGCAAGUCGUGGGUUCGAAUCCCACCGCAUCAAC